rnacentral:rRNA from 1 species
UGGGGAAUUUUUGACAAUGGGGGAAACCCUGAUCCAGCCAUCCCGCGUGUGCGAUGAAGGCCUUCGGGUUGUAAAGCACUUUUGGCAGGAAAGAAACGUCAUGGGUUAAUACCCCGUGAAACUGACGGUACCUGCAGAAUAAGCACCGGCUAACUACGUGCCAGCAGCCGCGGUAAUACGUAGUGUGCAAGCGUUAAUCGGAAUUACUGGGCGUAAAGCGUGCGCAGGCGGUUCGGAAAGAAAGAUGUGAAAUCCCAGAGCUCAACUUUGGAACUGCAUUUUUAACUACCGGGCUAGAGUGUGUCAGAGGGAGGUGGAAUUCCGCGUGUAGCAGUGAAAUGCGUAGAUAUGCGGAGGAACACCGAUGGCGAAGGCAGCCUCCUGGGAUAACACUGACGCUCAUGCACGAAAGCGUGGGGAGCAAACAGG